AAGACCUUGCGCUUUUGGAGCGGCCGAUGUCUGAUUAGCUUGUUGGUAAGGUAAAAGCUUACCAAGGCUUCGAUCAGUAGCUGGUCUGAGAGGACGGCCAGCCACACUGGGACUGAGACACGGCCCAGACUCCUACGGGAGGCAGCAGUGGGGAAUUUUGGACAAUGGGGGCAACCCUGAUCCAGCCAUGCCGCGUGAGUGAAGAAGGCCUUCGGGUUGUAAAGCUCUUUCAGCCGGAACGAAACGGUUACGGUUAAUACCCGUGACUACUGACGGUACCGGAAGAAGAAGCACCGGCUAACUACGUGCCAGCAGCCGCGGUAAUACGUAGGGUGCGAGCGUUAAUCGGAAUUACUGGGCGUAAAGCGUGCGCAGGUGGUUUUGUAAGUCAGAUGUGAAAUCCCCGGGCUUAACCUGGGAACU
rnacentral:rRNA from 1 species